GAAUUCAGUAAAGUUUCAGGAUACAAAAACAAUGUACACAAAUCAGGAGUACGGCUAUACAACACCAACAACCAAACUAAUAAUCAAAUCAAGAACUCAACCCCUUUUACAACAGCUGCAACAAAAUUAAAUACUUAGGAAUAUACCUAACCAAGGAGGUGGAAGAUCUCUACAAGGAAAACUACAAAAAACUGCUGAAAGAAAUCAUAGAUGAUACAAACAAAUGGAAACAUAUCCUAUGCUCACAAAUGGGUAGAAACAAUAUUGUGAAAAUGAGCAUACUACCAAAAGCAAUCUACAAAUUCAAUGCAAUUCCCAUCAAAAUACCAUCAUCAUUCUUCACAGAACUAAAACAAAUAUUAAAAUUCAUAUGGAACCAAAAAUGAGCCUGCAUAGCCAAAGCAAGACUAAACAAAAAGAAGAAAUCUGGAGGCAUCACAUUACCAGACUUCAAACUAUACAACAAUGCUGGUAGAAGAGCCUGAUGGCCUGGUGUUGGGCCUGAUCACCCCAAAAUUUCAGGCACCCAACGUGGGGCUAUGAAGACCAUGGUAAAGAAAUGCUAGAGUAUAUGGAAAUGAAGGACAUAUCAUCAAAGGACACCCGAGGAUGGCUGAAAGAAGCUUGGUGGGUAACAAUCAGGCACCUGUGUGGGUGCCCACCAAACAUCUGGAGAUCUAUCAUGAGCCACACCAGGAAGAGAGGGCUCUGGGAAGAGCCAGAGCUCCUGAUAUGAGUGAUGGUACAAAUGAACAUCUCAGAGACAAAGGAGAAGACCAAUGGAGUCUGUAGAUGCGGAAGCCACCUCUGGAGAGAAAGCCACCACUGAGAGCAAGCAAUGAUAGCUGUGGCGGUUUUGCAAAAAAGAAAAGGGAGACAAGCGCCCAGCUAUAGUUACCAAUAAAGCAUGCACUUCCAGCACUAUGUUGACUACAAAUGGUGAAGUGCCACUGGGUUAGAGUCUCCCCGACCAAGCUGGUCUCAGCAAGUGGUCUCCAUCAUGGGGGCUCGAAUCCAGGUUGAAGGGUCACCAGAGUGAUGGUUGGAGAACAUGGAACUAGCUGGAGGACACCUGAGUACUCUUAAAGCAAACCCCGUGUUAAUUGAAAAUGCUCAGUUACGAUUUCAUACAGAUGAACAACUGAAGACAAAAACAACAAAGGGGGAGAAAGAGGGAUUAUGGGACAGCCCAUAUACAAUUGAAUCUAGCAUUAUUAACUUUAAAUUUUUUGAGUCUGCCUAAAGGCCAGAUGUUAUCAGCAGCUGAACAGCAUUUACAGAAACCGGCUGCAAAGACAGAAGCAGAACAACUGGUUUGGUGGAGAGAUCCGAUAACAAAAAGUUGGGAAAUAGGUAAAAUAAUAACUUGGGGUAGAGGUUAUGUUUGUGUUUCUCCAGGCCAAAAUCAAUAACCAAUUUGGAUACCAUCAAGACACCUGAAACCUUAUCAUGAGCCAGAUGCUGAGGAAGAGAUUCCAGGAGGAUCCUGAGGACCCCCUGGUUGCAGCCACGUCGAGGCUGACACUGAGGAGGACCCCAACUGUCAUGAGCAACACCCGUCGAACACAGCCAUCCACCUGGGGACAAAUCAAGAAGCUGUCACAGAUGAUGGAAGAAAACCUGAGGAAAGCGGGACAACCAAUCACAAUGAGUAAUUUGGUGAUCUAUCACAGUGAUGAUCACCAUUGCCAUGAGUAUUCCUUCAACAAGGGCUGACACAGAGAACAAUUAUACUUAUUGGGCAUAUUUAUCAAUCUUGUCUGGCAAUAAUGCCUAGAUGAUUUCACUCUAUGGCACAGUUACACAUGCUUUCUGAUCUCAGUAUUUACCAUAAUAAAUCUGCUCCUAUAAUUGAGGCAUACCACCCUCAAAAACCUAUUUGUAAACAAAAUAGAACCUGGCCAGAAAUAAUGAACAACUUGUUUAGUAAGAUUGCAUUGCAGAACAGGCAGAGAUGCUACGCAAUGAUUCCUAUGGGAUCAUUGAUUGGUCCCCUAAGGGGAUGUUUAGCUUAAAUUGCACCUCUCAGUCUGCAUGCCAUGGCCACACUAGUUCAGAUGGUCUGAACAAAGUGGUCAGAUGGCAGAAAUGAUAAGAAGUAUGGCAAAAGUUCCUAUUGUCUGGAACCAUGGCAGUAUAGUGUCACCUCAACCUCAAAUGAUAUGGCUCAUUGUAGGAGCUAAACAUAAGGAUUUGUGGAAACUAUUAAUAGCUCUUAAUAAGAUCAAAAUUUGGGAAAGAAUAAAAAAAGCAUCUAGAAAGACACUCUACAAACUUGUCUUUGGAUAUUACAAAAUUAAAAGAACAAAUAUUUAAAGCAUCCCAGGUACACCUGACCUUAAUGACAGAAACUGGAGUGCUUGAAGGAGCUGCAGACAGAUUAGCAGCUAGUAACCCAUUAAAAUGGAUAAAAACACUUGGAAGCUCUGUGAUUUCAAUGAUGAUUGUGCUUUUAAUCGGUAUUGUUUGUCUUUGUAUAGUGUGCAGAUGUGGAUCCUGACUCCUGUGAGAAGUAGCUCACAGUGUCAAAGCUGCCUUUGCUUUUAUCGAUUUGCAAAUCAAAUAAGGGGGACAUAUUGGGAACAGCACCCCCCCCCCCAAAAUCUGGCCAUAAACUGGUCCCAAAACUGGCCAUAAACAAAAUCUCUGCAGCACUGACAUGUUCAUGAUGGUCUUAAUGCCCACGCUGGAAGGUUGUGGGUUUACCAGAAUGAGAGCAAGGAACACCUGGCCCACCCAGGGUGGAAAACCACUUAAAGGCAUUCUUAAACCACAAACAAUAGCAUGAGUGAUCUGUGCCUUAAGGCUGUGCUACUGCUGCAGAUAACUAGCCCAACCCAUCCCUUUAUUUCAGCCCAUCCCUUCGUUUCCCAUAAGGGAUACUUUUAAUUAAUCUAAUAUGUAUAGAAAGAAUGCUAAUGACUGGCUUGCUGUUAAUAAAUAACGUGGGUAAAUCUCUGUUGGAGGCUCUCAGCUCUGAAGGCUGUGAGACCCCGGAUUUCCCACUUCACACC
ensembl:lncRNA PM20D1-AS1 PM20D1 antisense RNA 1